rnacentral:misc_RNA from 1 species
GAUGAAGAACGUAGCGAAAUGCGAUAAGUAAUGUGAAUUGCAGAAUUCAGUGAAUCAUCGAAUCUUUGAACGCACAUUGCGCCCGCCAGUAUUCUGGCGGGCAUGCCUGUUCGAGCGUCAUUACAACCCUCAGGCCCCCGGGCCUGGCGUUGGGGAUCGGCGGAAGCCCCCUGCGGGCACAACGCCGUCCCCCAAAUACAGUGGCGGUCCCGCCGCAGCUUCCAUUGCGUAGUAGCUAACACCUCGCAACUGGAGAGCGGCGCGGCCACGCCGUAAAACACCCAACUCCUGAAUGUUGACCUCGAAUCAGGUAGGAAUACCCGCUGAACUUAAGCAUAUCAAUAAGCGGAGGA